AGAGUUUGAUCCUGGCUCAGGACGAACGCUGGCGGCGCGCUUAACACAUGCAAGUCGAGCGAGAACCAGACCUUCGGGUCUGGGGACAGCGGCGAACGGGUGAGUAACACGUGGGUAAUCAACCCCUGACACUGGGAUAGCCCGGGGAAACUCGGAUUAAUACCGGAUGGCCCAACAGCUCCUCGGGGCGGUUGGAAAAGGUAGCUUCGGCCUCCGGUCAGGGACGAGCCCGCGGCGGAUUAGCUUGUUGGUGAGGUAACGGCUCACCAAGGCGACGAUCCGUAGCUGGUCUGAGAGGACGAUCAGCCACACUGGGACUGAGACACGGCCCAGACUCCUACGGGAGGCAGCAGUGGGGAAUCUUGCACAAUGGGCGAAAGCCUGAUGCAGCGACGCCGCGUGAGGGAAGAAGGCUUUCGGGUUGUAAACCUCUUUCA
rnacentral:rRNA from 1 species